rnacentral:rRNA from 1 species
AGCAGCCGCGGUAAUUCCAGCUCCAAUAGCGUAUAUUAAAGUUGUUGCAGUUAAAAAGCUCGUAGUUGAAUUUCGGGGUUAGUAGGUUGGUCAUGCCUCUGGUAUGUACUGGUCUCACUGAUUCCUCCUUCCUGAUGAACCUUAAUGCCAUUAAUUUGGUGUUUUGGGGAAUUUGGACUGUUACUUUGAAAAAAUUAGAGUGUUUAAAGCAAGCUAACGCUUGAAUACAUUAGCAUGGAAUAAUGAAAUAGGACGUUCGAUCCUAUUUUGUUGGUUUCUAGGAUUGACGUAAUGAUUAAUAGGGAUAGUUGGGGGCAUUAGUAUUCAAUUGUCAGAGGUGAAAUUCUUGGAUUUAUUGAAGACUAACUACUGCGAAAAGCAUUUGCCAAGGAUGUUUUCAUUAAUCAAGAACGAAAGUUAGGGGAUCGAAGACGAUCAGAUACCGUCGUAGUCUUAACCAUAAACUAUGACCGACUAGGGAUCGGAUGAUGUUAAUUUUUAAUGUACUCAUUCGGCGCCU